CAGUAAAUGACUAAUGUGGGUUGGUUUCAGUUUCGUGUGAAAGUGGAGAAAAAUCCAGAGCUUGGUUUCAGUAUAUCAGGAGGAGUGGGAGGUCGGGGAAAUCCUUUUCGCCCAGACGACAAUGGUAUAUUUGUGACGAGAGUUCAACCUGAGGGGCCGGCAUCUAAGAUUCUUCAGCCUGGAGAUAAAAUCCUCCAGGCAAACGGCUACAGCUUUGUGAAUAUCGAUCACGGGAACGCAGUGGCCCUCCUGAAGACUUUUCCUAACACUGUGGACAUGAUUAUCGUAAGAGAAGCGCAGGCAUAGACUGAACCUGACCUCUGAAGCUGAGGGACACGAGGCAAACGGAGACAUUAAUGUUGACUCUCAUAUUUUUGUACGCAGAGGACACUGACAUGCCGGGACUAUUUAUAGCAGAGCCUUGAUUUACGGGGAAAACCACUGAAUGUAGUGGAUCAAAGUGAAACGAGUACGAGUCCUCAAAAGGCCAUCACUGUGGUAUAUAUAUUUUUAUACAAAAGAAGCUGAAGAUGUGACCUGAUGCAAAUAAUUACUGUGGUCUCUGUACAGAUCAUCUUUUCCUUUUUCUUCUUUUGUCCACAACUCAGAAGUCCUUGAUCAUGAAUGAGGUUUCAUUUCUGCAGAUUGACAUGAAUUGACCACUCCCUCGCCUUUUUUUUUUUUUUACUUUUAAUCUAAGAUGUUGAAAUCUGGUCUGCCCUGCGAUCUUUUACGGAGGACGAUGUUACGUGCUUUUCUUGUGGAGACGAAUGUAGAUCAAGGAAGUGAUUUGAUUUUGUUUUUCGGAGAGAUAUCGUUUGAUCCAGCCCUGCUUCCAUAAACCUGUGAACACGCGACGCUUCCACAGGAAUAUCCUCACGGCUCUGCACACCUUCCCUACACACCACUACCUGCGCUGUGUGGAAGACAAUCCUUGGCAAUAUGAAUGAAUCACAGCUUCUCGGAUGUUGCGGAAAUGGGAGAGGGGAGGUGUUAGCUCAGCCUUAAUCUGUUCAGUCGGAAGCUUUAGUUUGAAGCUGAAGUUCAACAUUUUGGGACAUUUUCUGAGAGAAGUUUGAAGCACUCGCAGUGACCGUACGACAGAAAGAGCUGCACGUGUUUCCCAAAAUGUUGGAACCCUUCCUUUAAGCGUAGAAAGACAUGGCGGGUGUGCUAGUGAACCAAAGCAAGUUUGUGGACAGGGAGAGUGCAGGAUAUUGAAAAGAUAUUUGAAUAAGAACAGGUCAACGUUUCACUCGUGUGUUUUUAUUUCUUAAGGGCUUCAUCUUUCAGGCGGCCAUUGGAGGGAGAUGAACGUUUUAUUUUGCAGGGGUUUCAACAUCUGUCCGUUUUUACAUGGGAGAAGACCACAGUUUGCCUUUUGUGUCUAUGAAAUGAUGUUUUAAUCACGCUUCUUACUCAUCACUUUGGAACCGUUUCUCAAUAUGUUUUCUUUGCUGUACAGAGAGUAGAGCUGGGAGAAACAAGUUGUCAAGUGCCAUAGACCUGGAACUGUUUGAGCAGGGGGAGGACCCCAGAACCCGAGCAAUACUCACAUAAUCACAGCAUUUGCAGCAUCAUGGCUUCAAAGCAAUACUAAAGCCUUUAUUUUCAAAAAGAUCAUCAGAUAGCAUUUUUUUAAACACAAUCUUUAGUAAUCACCAAUGAUUUUACAUAAUUUUUAUAUUGUGAAAACAUGUUUUUUUUCUAAUGACAUAGCACAAGAAAUAUAAACAGUGCUUAACAAAAGAUUUCUCUGCGUUGUGUAAAAGUGAAAGAUGGUGUCACUUUGUCCAAUGCGUUUGACUGACUGUGUGUCGCUUAGAUUACCGUAGCUCCUCACGUUCAUUUGUGCAAAAAUAAUCCACUUUAAAAAUCGAAUUGAGUCAAAACUACUUCUCAGAUCAUUCCUAAUGUUUGUCACAUGUAGGAAAAUGUGUUUUCAAGCAGCAUUAUGUCACUUCGUAUUCUCUGUGCACAUCUCCGUUAAUAUUCUUUCACUGGUAAAUAACUCUUGAGUGAGACGUGUUUCCACAACAAACGGGAAUGAUAAAAUUCACUAAAUAAUGGGCCCUUCAAUUCCAACCACACAUUUGUGACCACUGAAUUAUUUGUAUAAUAUGUAGUGUUUUAUCCACAUGGCAUUCCCUCAACUUGUUUACAGUAGGUUGUGGCCUCUACUGAUCCCAUGUGUAGUUAAAUAGAUUUAUAUUUUAUGCGUGUGGCACUGUUGAACCAAAUUUAAACACUGGUAGUUCACAAAAUGAAAUACCUUUUUAUAUAAUAGUCCAAAUGUUUAAAGGUAGUUCUAAGUGAAGCUGUACCCUUAAUUUUUUAACUGAAUCUAGAAUUUGUAAAUUGUAUCCACAUGAAAAUGAAAUGAUUUCCUAAAUGUCUCACAGAGCGUAGUAUUUCACACAGAUGAUUUGUUUUUAUUAUUUGUAUUAAUUUCUUGGUGAUUUCUGUUGACUUUGAGGGGAUUUCUGCGGUAAUGGUCACUUUAUAUUCAUGGCAAAAAAACAUAGACAUGUUAGAAAAUCUAGGGAGAUAAAAACAUUUCUUCAUUCAUGUCGCUCGUUUCUUACGCUCCCGUAUCGUUCUUAUUUAUUUAGCAGCCUUCUUUGGUUUUUAGACCUCACUAAUCAAAUUGUAAAUAUCUUAAAAAAUUGAGAAAAUAAUUAAUGACGGCAUUAGUGACUUGCGAUUGUAAAACCAGCAAUAAAUUGCAAUGCAGAGGCACUGGUUUUAAUGUAUAGCUAGUAUUUCUAAGGUUUCUCUGGAAACAGUGAGAUGAUGAUUGAAAUGCAUUUAUCCAACAUUCCAGAUUUUGUACAUAAUUACCUGUUUCUGAAGUAACCUGUGGAAAAUAAACGAAUGCUCUUUA